GCCCGGAUGGCGGAACUGGUAGACGCGGCAGACUCAAAAUCUGUUUUCCUUACGGAAGUGGGAGUUCGAGUCUCCCUCCGGGCACCA
rnacentral:tRNA from 1 species